CCUACGGGGGGCAGCAGUGGGGAAUAUUGCACAAUGGGGGAAACCCUGAUGCAGCGACGCCGCGUGAAGGAAGAAGGAUUUCGGUAUGUAAACGUCUAUCAGCAGGGAAGAAAAAGACGGUACCUGACUAAGAAGCCCCGGCUAACUACGAGCCAGCAGCCGCGGUAAGACGGAGGGGGCAAGCGUUAUCCGGAUUUACUGGGUGGCAAGGGAGCGGAGGCGGUUUAGCAAGUCAGAAGUGAAAGCCCGGGGCUCAACUCCGGGACUGCUUUUGAAACUGUUGAACUAGAUUGCAGGAGAGGUAAGUGGAAUUCCUAGUGUAGCGGUGAAAUGCUUAGAUAUUAGGAGGAACCCCAGUGGCGAAGGCGGCUUACUGGACUGUACCUGACGCUGCGGCUCGAAAGCGUGGGGAGCAAACAGGAUUAGAUACCCCAGUAGUC
rnacentral:rRNA from 1 species